AUGAAGACACUGUGGGGACGUUUUCAAACUUGGACUCGGAGAACAACCGAACAGGUGCACAUCCAGAGACCUGAGGUGGCCUCGCCCUUGCCGUCAGUCCUGCACUUCAUGAACCUCUACCCUGCCUCGGACAGUGAGAAGAAACUGAACCACAUCUAUUUCAAGGGAUUGCCCAAGGACUCAUGCAGCUCUGUCUCCUGGUUUCCUGGAGCAAAAUCAGACUAUCUCCCCGACCCUCAUCCUUCUCCCCACUUGGGUGAAACUCACCUGGAGAUCCAGUUCAAAUCCAGACUCUUCUACUGUGGGACCUUGGUCAAGUCAGUAACUUCUCUGAACCUGCAAAAUGAGUAGAGCAUACUUGUCCUGAUAUCUCGUAGUUACUGUGAAAACCAGAGGUGUUGUAAGAUCUCUAUCCCAGUGCACCUCCUGUAUCAGCCCUGUGCUUAUAGGUGGUCUCUCUCAGAUCCCCAGCCCCAGAUCCUUCCAGGGACUCAGACCUCGGUCUCUGUUCUCUCCUGCGGUCUCUGUUCUCUCAUGCGCAUCCCUGUGCCUGUUCCCCACCUGCAUCUAUAACCAUCCUCCUACCUGCUCCUUGCUCCCACCUUCAAAUCUUCUCCCCCUGUGAACCCACUUCUUAAAUCACUCCCCAUCCCAGUGCCCAGCCCCAAGUCUGUUCCCAUUUGUUUCCGCCCCCAUUCUUAUAAUCUCAGCCCUAAAUCUUUAUCCCUUCCCCCAUCCCAGGGCCCCAGUCUUAAAUCCUCCCUCCUCCCUCCACAUGCCAUUCCCAGCUAGGUAUGGAUGUCCUCUGCCUCUCAAGUCCCCUAGCUGGUGCUUCCCAGGCCCUGGUCUGCCAUUCUGAGGCCCCAUUCCCCCUUCUUGCUCUGAAGGGCCUGGAUCUCAGUUUUCUGGGGCCUCAACGGGAAGCAGAAGCAGGGCCCUGAGGUGGAGAAGCCCCCUCAGCCCUUUGUCCUCAUUCCCCCUUCCCUCUGAUCCCCUAUGACCUCACCCUCCCCACCACUCCCCUUUCCUCUCUUGGCCUCACCCCCAUGGCUGCAGUAACCUCAGAGGUCAGAAGUCCCCAGCCCUCUUCACAGGAACAUGUCUUUUGGGGAAGAAAGUCUUGCAGCCUCCAGUUCUCCCAUGUGAACACA
rnacentral:lncRNA from 1 species